UACGAAGGGGGCUAGCGUUGUUCGGAAUCACUGGGCGUAAAGGGCGCGUAGGCGGCUUUAUAAGUCGGGGGUGAAAGCCUGUGGCUCAACCACAGAAUUGCCUUCGAUACUGUAGAGCUUGAGACCGGAAGAGGUAAGUGGAACUGCGAGUGUAGAGGUGAAAUUCGUAGAUAUUCGCAAGAACACCAGUGGCGAAGGCGACUUACUGGGCCGGAACUGACGCUGAGGCGCGAAAGCGUGGGGAGCAAACAGG
rnacentral:rRNA from 1 species